AUAGACGAAGCUUAGGGUCUCUUUGGGUUUGCAACCCUUACCCUCCUGGAAAAAAUCAUAGUUGCUAGACUGCGACACUUCAGACCAGGUACUAUUAGAGCCGCUAAUGGACGACGAGCUAUUUUCCGCUAUCCGGAGCUCAAGCAUUUGAGCCGCUAAAUGGACGAGACUCCUGGGGUAAAGAAUGCAGAGACUGAGGAGAAAACACUCGUAUGGAGCAGGGAGUAGGUAUUGUACUACUUCCUGGUAUGGAGCACUGAGAAGCGCAUUAGGCGAUUUGAUCGCAGGACAAGAGAGGAGCUGAUGGACGAUCUCUCCAGUGUCCCUCUUGGUUCGGAGCAGCGCCGAGUGCUGACGUUGGGACUUGGAUCCAAGGGACUGCCAUGGGUUCGCCUGCAGCAGUGGUCUAUGCCGACAUUGUUAUGCUGUAUUUGGAGAAGCGGUACGUUUUGCCGAUCUUAGAGGGGGAGGGUUUAGAGGUUCAGGUUUAUAGACGCUUUAUCAUUGCAUGGUUGCGAAGGUCAAGUUCAGCGCACUUUAGAUAGGAUUAAUAAGUGUUCGGCCCUCAAGUUUUCUCAUGAACUGGCACAUGAUGGCAUUGAUUUCCUGGACACCACAGUUUUCCGUAGUAAGGGAUACAUGUCGGUGAAGCCUCAUUUCAAGUUCACCAAUCGUUUCCUGUAUCUGCUUGUCGGUAGUAACCACCCCUGUAGUAUGGGUAAAGGUGUGUUCACUGGGGAGUUGAUCCGUAUCCGUCGGUCUUCGACCCUUGACCACCACUACGAAGCUGCUGCCGAGCGGCCGAAGCAGGCUUUCCGGGCCCGUGUAUACAAGCGCUCCAUCUUUCAUCUUUCAGACCCGUACACUAGGAAUGGAUGCGCAGGGAAGAGUUCUAGCAUCCGUAGCUGCCUCAGGGGUGCCACUUCUCCCAUCAGCGUCGACUAGUCCGCCGAUCUCACUCAGCUCUGCUCUCCGAGCAUUCUGCUUCCAACACGACUUCCCGAAAGAAAAUGUGCUAGCGCAUUAGAAGGAGGUGACAGAUGCGCCUGCAGGAGAAUACAUGCUUAAGAGAAGGCAGAAACAUGCCCGGAUCCACCAGAACUAGUGCUGGCAAGUCAACAGAGGCGAGUACUGAUAAUGUUCCAGAUUGUGGUAGGAUCACAUAAGCAAAAUU